AGAGAGUUACUCAAGAGGCUUAAGAGGACAGGUUGCUACCUUGUUAGGUCGAAAAAUCGGCGCAUGGGUUCAAAUCCCAUACUCUCUU
rnacentral:tRNA from 4 species